GUAGGGUGCGAGCGUUAAUCGGAAUUACUGGGCGUAAAGCGUGCGCAGGCGGUUUUGUAAGACAGAUGUGAAAUCCCCGGGCUUAACCUGGGAACUGCGUUUGUGACUGCAAGGCUAGAGUACGGCAGAGGGGGGUGGAAUUCCUGGUGUAGCAGUGAAAUGCGUAGAUAUCAGGAGGAACACCGAUGGCGAAGGCAGCCCCCUGGGCCUGUACUGACGCUCAUGCACGAAAGCGUGGGGAGCAAAC
rnacentral:rRNA from 1 species